GAUGAAGAACGCAGCGAAAUGCGAUAAGUAAUGUGAAUUGCAGAAUUCAGUGAAUCAUCGAAUCUUUGAACGCAUAUUGCGCUCUCUGGUAUUCCGGAGAGCAUGCUUGUUUGAGUAUCAGUAAACACCUCAACUUCCAUAUCUUUUUUGAAAUGGGAGUUGGACUUGAGUGAUCCCAACGCUUUUCCUCACCGAAAAGUGGCGGGUUACUUGAAAUGCAGGUGCAGCUGGACUUUUCUCUGAGCUAUAAGCAUAUCUAUUUAGUCUGCCUAAAAAACAGAUUAUUACCUUUGCUGCAGCUAACAUAAAGGAGAUUAGUUCUUGUGCUGACUGAUGCAGGAUUCACAAAAACGGCUUCGGCCGACUUUGUAAACUCGAUCUCAAAUCAAGUAAGACUACCCGCUGAACUUAAGCAUAUCAAUAAGCGGAGGA
rnacentral:misc_RNA from 1 species